AUGGUUGAAUAUGCCCACGUGAAGUCCACCAAACUUGUGCUCAAGGGGGCGAAGACGCAGCAUAAGAAAAAAAAAAAAAGAGAAGAAGAAACUCAAACUGAUAUUGUUGGAAUUUGGUGGGCAGUAACAAACUUCAGUGAAAUUUCAGGAACCAUAGCUAUUGAAAUGGAUAGAGGAACCUACAUACAUGCACUUGACAAUGGUCUUUUUGCUCUGGGAGCACCACAUAAAGAAGUUGAUGAGGGCCCGAGUCCUCCAGAGCAGUUUACAGCUGUCAAAUUAUCUGAUUCCAGAAUUGCCCUGAAAUCUGGUUAUGGAAAAUAUCUUGGUAUAAACUCAGAUGGACUUGUUGUUGGGCAUUCAGAUGCAAUUGGGCCAAGAGAACAAUGGGAACCCGUCUUUCAAGAUGGGAAAAUGGCUUUAUUGGCCUCAAAUAACUGCUUUAUUUGAUGCAAUGAAGCAGGUGAUAUAGAAGCGAAAAGUAAAACCAUAGGAGAAGAAGAAAUGAUAAAGAUUAGGUCCUGUGCUGAAAGAGAAACAAAGAAAAAAGAUGACAUUCAAGAAGACAAAGGAAAUGUAGAACAAUGUGAAAUCAAUUAUGUAAAAAAAUUUCAGAGCUUCCAAGACCACAAACUUGAAAUAAGUAAAGAAGACAGUAAAAUUCUUUUUUUUAAAAUUCUUAAAAAGGCUUGGAAAGAUGGAUUUUUGGAUGAGACGCUUCUGGACAGGAGAGCCAAACUGAAAGCUGACAGAUACUGCAAAUGA